rnacentral:rRNA from 1 species
UAACGAUGUCGAUUUGGAGGUUGUUCCCUGAGGAGUGGCUUCCGGAGCUAACGCGUUAAAUCGACCGCCUGGGGAGUACGGCCGCAAGGUUAAAACUCAAAUGAAUUGACGGGGGCCCGCACAAGCGGUGGAGCAUGUGGUUUAAUUCGAUGCAACGCGAAGAACCUUACCUACUCUUGACAUCCAGAGAAUUUAGCAGAGAUGCUUUAGUGCCUUCGGGAACUCUGAGACAGGUGCUGCAUGGCUGUCGUCAGCUCGUGUUGUGAAAUGUUGGGUUAAGUCCCGCAACGAGCGCAACCCUUAUCCUUUGUUGCCAGCACAUUAUGGUGGGAACUCAAAGGAGACUGCCGGUGAUAAACCGGAGGAAGGUGGGGAUGACGUCAAGUCAUCAUGGCCCUUACGAGUAGGGCUACACACGUGCUACAAUGGCGUAUACAAAGAGAAGCGACCUCGCGAGAGCAAGCGGAACUCAUAAAGUACGUCGUAGUCCGGAUUGGAGUCUGCAACUCGACUCCAUGAAGUCGGAAUCGCUAGUAAUCGUAGAUCAGAAUGCUACGGUGAAUACGUUCCCGGGCCUUGUACACACCGCCCGUCACACCAUGGGAGUGGGUUGCAAAAGAAGUAGGUAGCUUAACCUUCGGGAGGGCGCUUACCACUUUGUGAUUCAUGACUGGGGUGAAGUCGUAACAAGGUAACCA